CCAUGGGGAUUCAUCCCCAUUAAGAUAGCACCCUUUGUUUAUAAGCACCAUUUGUUUCCUCGGCGGGCUUGCCCACCGCCAGGACCACAAUAAACCUCUUGCAGUAGCAGUAUCUUCAGUAAAAAACAAAUAUUA
rnacentral:misc_RNA from 1 species